CUGCUACAACUGCCAAGUUCCCCGCGUCCCACCCUCCUCUAGGUGCUCCGAGGGACCACCGGGGUGCCUGAUGUGAGAGCGGGAGCGUAGAGACUCGGAGGCCGAGGUUGAGAACAAAAAGAUGCACCUGGACUUUCCCCGGAGCACUCUGCGUGGUUGAGCUUCGGUGGAAUUUCGGGGCUCUUGGCUGCCAGCCGCGCUUGCCUGGUAGCAACAGAAACCAGUCCCGCUCGCCUCCGUGCCACAAAAAAGCCACACCCAAGAUCACCUGAC
rnacentral:lncRNA from 1 species